rnacentral:rRNA from 1 species
AUUGAACGCUGGCGGCAUGCCUAACACAUGCAAGUCGAACGGCAGCACAGCAGUAGCAAUACUGUGGGUGGCGAGUGGCGGACGGGUGAGGAAUACGUCGGAAUCUGCCCAGUCGUGGGGGAUAACUAGCCGAAAGGUUAGCUAAUACCGCAUACGACCGAGAGGUGAAAGCGGGGGACCGCAAGGCCUCGCGCGAUUGGAUGAGCCGACGUCGGAUUAGCUAGUUGGCGGGGUAAAGGCCCACCAAGGCGACGAUCCGUAGCUGGUCUGAGAGGAUGAUCAGCCACACUGGAACUGAGACACGGUCCAGACUCCUACGGGAGGCAGCAGUGGGGAAUAUUGGACAAUGGGCGCAAGCCUGAUCCAGCAAUGCCGCGUGUGUGAAGAAGGCCUUCGGUUGUAAGGACACUUUAUCUAGACGAAAGACG